rnacentral:rRNA from 1 species
GAUGAACGCUGGCGGCGUGCCUAAUACAUGCAAGUCGAACGCUGGAAAUCUAGCUUGCUAGAUUGAAGGAGUGGCGAACGGGUGAGUAAUACAUAAGCAACCUACCCACGAAGACUGGGAUAAUCUCUGGAAACGGGGACUAAUACCGGAUAGGUAAUCGGAAGGCAUCUUCUGAUUAUUAAAGGUUAAAAACUCUGGUGGAUGGGCUUAUGGCGCAUUAGUUAGUUGGUGAGGUAACGGCCCACCAAGACGAUGAUGCGGAGCCGGACUGAGAGGGUGAACGGCCACAUUGGGACUGAGCCACGGCCCAGACUCCUACGGGAGGCAGCAGUAGGGAAUUUUCGGCAAUGGGGGAAACCCUGACCGAGCAACGCCGCGUGAGUGAUGACGGCCUUCGGGUUGUAAAGCUCUGUUGUAAGGGAAGAACGGUAGAUAGAGAAUAUCUAAAUGACGGUACCUUACCAGAAAGCCACGGCUAACUACGUG